AUCAUUUAGAGGAAGGAGAAGUCGUAACAAGGUUUCCGUAGGUGAACCUGCGGAAGGAUCAUUGUCGAUGCCUACCAAACAGAACGACCCGCGAACCGUGUGACUAUCACUACCAGGGAGGCGCGGGCGCCAGUCGCCCCCGGCUCCUGCGCCGGCGAGAGCCCUCGUCGACGCAACAACUAACCCCGGCGCCCUGCGCCAAGGAAACUUGAAAACCAAGCGCCGCCCCCGUCCGCCCGGAAACGGCGCGGGCAGGGGAGCACGGCGAGAUSUAUCUUAUACAAAACGACUCUCGGCAACGGAUAUCUCGGCUCUCGCAUCGAUGAAGAACGUAGCGAAAUGCGAUACUUGGUGUGAAUUGCAGAAUCCCGUGAACCAUCGAGUCUUUGAACGCAAGUUGCGCCCGAAGCCACUAGGCCGAGGGCACGCCUGCCUGGGUGUCACACAACGCUGCCCCUCCACCCUCAUCCCUCGCAACGAGGGCUCUGCGGGACGGUGCGGGCGGAUCAUGGCCUCCCGUGAGCGCGGUCUCGCGGUUGGUUGAAAAGAAAAAGCCCUCGGGGGCGACGGCCACGCUCCUCGGUGGAUGAGCACGCCUCGAUGCCGGUCGUGCGCGCGUCGUCCCCUCUAUCCGGCUUCGAGAGACCCUAUCGCGUUUGCCCUGUGCGACUGCGAAAAACAACAACGCGACCCCAGGUCAGGCGGGGCUACCCGCUGAGUUUAAGCAUA
rnacentral:misc_RNA from 1 species